CACUGGACUGAGACACGGUCCAGACUCCUACGGGAGGCAGCAGUGGGGAAUAUUGCACAAUGGGCGCAAGCCUGAUGCAGCCAUGCCGCGUGUGUGAAGAAGGCCUUCGGGUUGUAAAGCACUUUCAGUCGUGAGGAAGGUAGUGUAGUUAAUAGCUGCAUUAUUUGACGUUAGCGACAGAAGAAGCACCGGCUAACUCCGUGCCAGCAGCCGCGGUAAUACGGAGGGUGCGAGCGUUAAUCGGAAUUACUGGGCGUAAAGCGCAUGCAGGUGGUUUGUUAAGUCAGAUGUGAAAGCCCGGGGCUCAACCUCGGAAUAGCAUUUGAAACUGGCAGACUAGAGUACUGUAGAGGGGGGUAGAAUUUCAGGUGUAGCGGUGAAAUGCGUAGAGAUCUGAAGGAAUACCGGUGGCGAAGGCGGCCCCCUGGACAGAUACUGACACUCAGAUGCGAAAGCGUGGGGAGCAAACAGGAUUAGAUACCCUGGUAGUCCACGCCGUAAACGAUGUCUACUUGGAGGUUGUGGCCUUGAGCCGUGGCUUUCGGAGCUAACGCGUUAAGUAGACCGCCUGGGGAGUACGGUCGCAAGAUUAAAACUCAAAUGAAUUGACGGGGGCCCGCACAAGCGGUGGAGCAUGUGGUUUAAUUCGAUGCAACGCGAAGAACCUUACCUACUCUUGACAUCCAGAGAACUUUCCAGAGAUGGAUUGGUGCCUUCGGGAACUCUGAGACAGGUGCUGCAUGGCUGUCGUCAGCUCG
rnacentral:rRNA from 1 species